GACGAACCGUGCGAACGUUGUUCGGAUUCACUGGGCUUAAAGGGCGCGUAGGCGGCUCGCCAAGUCAGGGGUGAAAUCGUUCGGCCUAACCGGACAAGUGCCCCUGAUACUGGCGGGCUCGAGGGAGGUAGGGGCAUGCGGAACUUCCGGUGGAGCGGUGAAAUGCGUAGAUAUCGGAAGGAACGCCGGUGGCGAAAGCGGCGUGCUGGACCUCACCUGACGCUGAUGCGCGAAAGCCAGGGGAGCAAACGGG
rnacentral:rRNA from 1 species